rnacentral:sRNA from 1 species
GAUUUAUAUAUUUUUAAAACAAUCUAUGUUUUCAAAAUGAGUGGAAGCUAAUUCAUUUUUCACCAUUAAUUAUCAUUGAUUAUCAGCUUCAUUCGUUGAUAUGUCUAUGUCGUCAAAACUUUUUUGCAAAACCCAUCACUAUUUUUCACAACACCGUGGACUAGGGCAAAAGCAGUAUCAUCUAACUCGCGUACUGUAAUCAAAAGAUAUAAUACAUCCACAAAUGAAUUUACAUCUUAAAAAACAUUUGUACCUCGUGUUCUUAUUAGUGUCUAGAAAUAGAAGCUCCAAGACCACUAAGUGUCCUCUCUUCCUUUGGUGCUUGUGCUUCCUCUUCCCUUCUUAUACGAGCGCAAUCGAUAGAAUGCUUUUCAUAAGCCUCACCUCCACUGGCAUCACUGGUACCACGUACCACCGCACUAUAGAUUAGUUCCACGUCUUCAGCUGGCACAUAGACACAAGUAGAACCUUAGUGGAGAUUUAUGUUAGCUACUUGUGGUAAGUUAUUGAGAUUAACCCUGGGGAGACCAUAAUGUAGACGCAGUCCAAACCAUUGUAUGAUCCAGCAACUCAAGAUAUUCCUCUCCCUUUAUGAAGAGAACAAAAUUCUGUGUAGUGCAACUUGCGAGCAAGUCUUGACCUCUUCUAAGCCUCUCGACUUGCCUCCACACUCAAACACCAUUAUCUCCUUCUCUUCAUCUCCAUACUCUCUUUUCUUCUGGAAAUUACAUGAUUCUAUCAUUAAUCUUCACCCUUUAGAUGAUACAACUUUGAAUUUUAUCAGGGUAUUCACGGAAAGGUGCUGGAAAAUCUAUUCUACAAGACCCUCAGGUAGAACAGAGGCAAAUAUCUUUAAUUUAUCUUCAACACGAAUUUAAUUUUGGGAAGCAAAUUUUAUAAUCAAGAUUAUAUUAAGAGAACAUGUAUUUUUCAUGUCAAAUAAGAAUCAAACUGCGUCUUGUCCAAAGAUAAGAGGACAAGAGUUAAUACAUGUUCUCUUAUAAUACAUGUAUUGAGGGAACAUGAGUUAUUACAUCAUCCCUUUGAGUCGGGUAUACCAGCUGAUAUAUAUACUGUCUAGACUCUAUUGCGUUUCCUCGGUUAACCAGAACUAUAUGAACGUGGAUGACUUCUUGUUGCAAGAAACAAACCAGCAGUAAUUGAGUUGGAGGAACCGUUGUGCUUGCAAGCCUAUAACCAUGCCAAAAUUUUGUAAUAUAUAUGUUCUUUUUGCUUCCUUUUGCAUUUUUUUUGGUCUUGGUUGUUGUUAAUUCAAAUCUAUCUUUUUGAAAAUCUAGCUAAUGGUAA